rnacentral:rRNA from 1 species
AACGUAGGGUGCAAGCGUUGUCCGGAAUUACUGGGUGUAAAGGGAGCGCAGGCGGAUCGACAAGUUGGAAGUGAAACGCACGGGCUCAACCCGUGACCUGCUUUCAAAACUGCCGGUCUUGAGUGGUGUAGAGGUAGGCGGAAUUCCCGGUGUAGCGGUGGAAUGCGUAGAUAUCGGGAGGAACACCAGUGGCGAAGGCGGCCUACUGGGCACUAACUGACGCUGAGGCUCGAAAGCAUGGGUAGCAAACAGG